GCAAAAUGUAGAUUUAUUUAUGAAACAAAAUGAAGAGGUAAAAUCGCACGAAGGGAAGUCUCGCGGCCAGGUGGCUCUUUCUGCCACUGCGCGCUGCCCUGGGGAUGCGGGCUCCGCAGGUGAGGACGCACGAGAAGAGGGCGGUACCGCGCUCUCUCCCCCGCCCUUCAGCCGGCCAACGAACGAGAUGCCCGGUCCUCCCGACUUCCUAGAGCGUCCGAGGAAGCGCCCCCGGGGCCCCCCGCAGGAAGUGUGUGCCGGGCGGAGGAUACUUCCUGCCGGGCGGAGGAUACUUCCUGCCGGGCGGAGGAUACUUCCUGCCGGGCUGGCUGGGCUCGGGCUCAGGGCCCCAACGCACACACUGGGUCUGCUUUGAAGUUCUGCGGAGGCUGCUCGCCCCACGGCCCUUCCCCGCGAAGCGCGCCCGAGUUCGCGGGAGGGACUGCGCCUGCGCCUGCGCCUGCGCCCCAGGGCGGCCCGAGGGCCCCCAGGCCGGGUCCCGCCACUAGAACCAGGGUCCCAUUUGUGCACAUCACCAGAGGAUAUGGCAGCCCUGGGGGCAAUGCAAGAGCCACUCUCUGCUUCAGCUCACAUCAGCUUUCCAUCACCCGGAUCCCAUUCAGGGCCUCCACAUCAUGAGAUGCUACUGCACCUCCAGGACCCCCAAUACGCUCUCUGGACUUCCAUUGGAGCUAUCCAGACUGACCCAACACAAAGGGUCCUGAAUAAGUAUGGGUUAAGUAAUUUGUAUUCAACCAUUAUUAAAGACUUAGUAUAUGCUAUAGAAGGAUAUAAAAGAAAUUUAAAAUGCAGGACUUGUCUUCUGAGGAUUUUAAUAUCUAGUUGGAAAGAAAAGACAUACACAUUAAGAAAAAUAAUAAGCAGAUAUAUGAUAAAUCAGAUUCAAAAUAUAUGCCAAGUUCCAAGGAAAGACUAAAACAAUGUUAGGGGUAUACAGAACCAGCAUUAAAGAGUAGAAAAAAGAAAAUUAGCUCUGAAAUCAGAGAACAGGGUUUCAAACUACUGCUCCUUACCACCUUUUUCACCUUGUUAAUGAGUGGCCCUUAUCCUCUCUUGGUCUCAGUUUCCUCCUCUGUAAAAGGAGCAGUUUGUUUAGAUACUCUUGGAUGUCUCUUCAUACAUUAGCUCAGUAAUCCUACUAUAAAAGGAGGUGGCAGGAAUUGUAUGAAUAGAAAGGUCACUCUUGAAAGCAGUGGUGAAAUUCUGAGGGCACAGCUUAAUAAUCACAAUAAUUUAAUUUUUAUGGUUAUUAAAGUGUUUGUAACCAGAAGAGCUGGUUUUAAAUCACAGCUCCAAAACUUUUUAGCUUUGUGAUGGUGGACUUCAUCUUUCUCUCUGAAAAUUGCAUUUAACAUUAGCGUAGCCUAACUCACAGGAAUGGAAGGGGCUUCCUAAACCUCAAAGUCCUCACAUAAAAAUGGGAUUGAUUUCAUUAGAGCUUUGGUAGUGGCAAAGUAAGGUUCCAAGAGGUGAAAUGACUUGUCCAAAGCUACGUGACUAACAUGGCAAAACCAGGACUUGUUCCCCAUCCUUACUCCCAACCUACCUUUUCUGCCUCAUGUCCCAUUAUUCUAUUUUAGAUAUUCUCUCCAAACUUACAAAUAUAUUCCACUUACAAAUAUGUUCAGUGUAAAGAAGAAAAACUUGCCAGGUGAAAAUGGGUCUAAUGAACCAUGUUGAAAAGUGAUAGAAAAAAAUUUGGAAAGGUACUUGGACAAAUGAUACAAGGCUAAAAUUUGAAAAAAAUAAAUAAAUAAAUAACCCACUGUAUGUUUUUGUGUGGGAAAAUAAUGUCAUGGAUGAAUUUAGAGAGAGAAUUUCAGAAGUGCUGGCGUGUAGUACAAAAGGAAGAUACAUGAAGGAAACAAACUCAUUAGAAGAAAACAUUAAAUGGUUUCAUUUAGCUCGAGUUCUACUCCAGCCAUCAUGAUAGUCACACAAAAAGCAUUGAAAAGAUGAUAUACCCAAGAGAGCACAGAGUCAUGGAAGUCAAGGAAAGAGCAUUUUGAGGAUGGGCUUAUGGGGGAAGAAAGGUUCAAAUUUAAGAGUAACCAAAUUUCAAAGUUAGAAGGAAUCUCAUACUACAUAUAGCUCAAUCCAUAUUCCAAAAGAAAAAAAAAAUCCCUUCUAUAAUACUCUGGACAAAUGGUCAUCCAAUUGAUGAAGGCCUUCCCUUAAGAGUUCUGUCCCCUCAGCCAAAAUAGAAUAAAUCUUAUGCCUCUUUACAUGACAGACUUUGAAAUAUUUGAAGACAGCUCUAAGAGACAUUGUAAUGGAAGAAUUUUAGUAGCAAUUGCUCAGAUGUCAGAGGGGAAAAGGGAAGGAGAAAAGUUAAAUAAAACUUCAUGAUUGGAAACUUAAAGUACCAUCUCAUCAAAUAUGAUUCUUACUAGCUUAUCUGAAUUCUCAUAUUUCUAAUUAUUGUGUCUCGAACUUACCUCCAGAUUUUGUGCUUAUCCUCUUAAUAUUCUUACUCAUUGUUCUUUUUUGUCUCUUCUAGUCAGAAGUCUUGUAUCAUCUUGUCUGGAUUCACAUACCUUAUAUCCAGACAUUCAUUAUUCCACUGUAUCAUUCUUCUAUUCUACUUGUCUUUUUUAUCAAUUUAUAAAAUAACUUUUUAAAGUUAUCAAAAUCAUGAGACCCUCUUGGACAUCACUAUCAAUUUUUAGAGAGAACUUAAUAGCUGUCUUCCAAGAAUUUGAAGUAUUGUCAAGUAGAAGAGAUUAGAUUUAUUCUCCAUGGUUUAGGAGAAUAUAAAUAGGAGUAAUGACUAAGACAGAUUUCAGCUAAAUAAAGGAAAAGCUUCCUAAUACAGCUGAACAAAAGGAAAUGGGUUGUCUGCAAUGGUAGGGGGUUCCUUAUCACCAGAGAUCUUAAGGUGGAAGGUAGAUCACUUGUCAAGGACAUUGGAACCUCAUUACUAGGUGAACUGGAUAUCCCUUCCAACUCUAUUAUUCAUGUAUCAGAUAGAGAAUUGUACUAUAUUGCCUGUACAAUUACUUGUAAAUCUAAGGCUCUUUGCAGUUAUUCUAUAAUUGUCAUCUGUCUCCAUCAACUUCCUUCCCCUUCUACUUCCAAUCAGAGAACAGGUGACUUUUUUUUUUUUUUUUUUACUUUCCAUUUAUAAUUUCAGAUUAUAAGACCAGGACUGACAACAAGUUACUGAUCCCAAAGCAGGAAAUUUCUGAAGAAAUAGAAUGUUGUGGAACAAUAUCAGAAAUUCUCCAAACAGAUGUAUUCCAAAAACCCAAAUUUGGAAAAACUUAUGAACUUCAAAGGAGGUUAGAUAUUCAGGUGGGUAUCCCAUCUGAGAAGAGAUGGAAAAACUCCCUUUCCCAGCAGA
ensembl:lncRNA